CUUAUCGACGCAUUCGUUAACAACGUGAAUAAUUAACGGCCAGAAUGUUGAUCGUGAGUAACCGGAGCAUCUGCUCCACCACCUGGCUGGGCGCAGCACUCCUGCAAAGGAAGGUGAACAGCAAGGUGGUUACUGCUCAUUAAUUACCCUUGAGCAGAGUCAGGAGUUCUUGUCACCCACCAGAUGAUAGCAGGGGUCGUCUGGUGUUACGCUGCAGUUCUGGACUCCUAGAUUCCCUGAGCCACUUAAAAUAAAGAGUCUUCCUUAUGAAAAAAGGCCUGCUGCAGAGGAUUUAAGGCUGGCUGGUCACUCAGACCCUUUGGUACCAUCUAUUCCAUGGAGCAGGGGCUGAAAAAGUGCUCACACUUUGUACAUGAGCCUGGAGUACUGACAACACAGGAGGAUCCUGGUCCAAAAUGGCAAAGUAGCCCUCCACAGACAGUGGAGAAGGAAAAUAUGAGUACAGUGUUGUUUUAUUCUUUCUUACAGUAUUUUCCACUCUACAGAAGCCCGAAAUGCUUAAGGAAACUUCUGCCUCAGAAUUUAAAAAUAUAUAAAUUAUGAAAAGUAAAUCAUCUACCUAGAGUUCUUUGUACAGGCAUCAUUUACCAAUCUCAAACCACAGGUCCUUUUGCACUAUAGAGUUGGAAAAUAAAUUUCAGCAUUUAAUGAGGUUACCAUAGCAAACAGGCCUUUUAGACACUUCCUUGCAUCCUGUUCCAGAAGGUCAUCUCAUCUGUUUAAUCUCAAGCACUCAAAUAUUCAUUUAUCUAAAUCAGCUCUGGAGGCCUUGUAUUUGAAAAGUUCAAAACUGCCAGCUGAGGAGCUGUCUGGUCCAUUUACACCGAGUUUCAAUGCACCCUGGAAGUCAAGGAGAUUCUAAAGGAUCAGAAGACAGCAAAUAUUUUAUCAACAUUUAUAAUGAGUGAAUCAGAUGGCCAGAGUAAUUAAAGAUUUCACCACCUCAGAUUAAGUUCAGGUAAAAUAACAGCACAUCUGGUACAGGACUGAAGCGGCCAGUUGAAAGAGAGGUAAUAUAACUAAUGUUACUUAACAAAAGAUUAUGGAGAAUUGAUGUGAAUUCUGUGUCUUUUUGAUGACAUUAAUCUUAAACAUGUAACUAUAAUUAGCUCUUUUGUAAUAGACUUUGACAGUCUGAAACAUUAAAUUUAUUAAAAACUGA